GGGGAUAAGCGUUAAGCGAACUGCGAACGGCUCAUUACAACAGAUAUAAUCUACUUGUUCUAUGACUUAAAUGGAUAACUGCGGUAAUUCUGGAGCCAAUACAUGCGAACAGCUGCGGCCUUCGGGUUGCAGUGCUAUUAUUGGAGCAAAACUAUUCGUUAGUCCUUUUGCUAACUCUGGAUAAUACUGCGUAUCGCACGAUCUUGUGUCGGCGAAGUUUCAUUCGAGUAUCUGCCCUAUCAACUGGUUGGCAGUGUAUUGGACUGCCAUGGUUCUAACGGGUAACGGAGAAUCAGGGUUUGACUCCGGAGAAUCCGCCUUAAAAACGGCGAAUAUGUCUAAGGAUAGCAGCAGGCGCGAAAAUUACCCAAUAUCAAUACGAUGAGGUAGUGACGAGAAAUAACGAGUCCGUUCUCUCUGAGGUCGGACAUUGGAAUGGGUACAAUGUAGACAAUUUAACGAGUAUCUACGAGAGGGCAAGUCUGGUGCCAGCAGCCGCGGUAAUUCCAGCUCUCGUAAUACAUAGAAUUAUUGUUGCGGUUAAAAAGUUCAUAGUUGGAUUGUUGAACCGUUCGGGGUGCGUCUUAACGGGCGUCACUCGUGGGCGGUAUUUUGCGCGUUUUCGGGCCUUCGGGUCGGUGAUGCGCAGGAUUACUUUGAACGGCUUAAGUGCUCAAGGCGGGUCUUACGACUGAAUACCGGUGCAUGGAAUAAUGGAACAAGGUUGCGGCCGAGUUUUAUUGGUUUUGUCGGCUGAAACAAUGGUUAACAGGAACAGCCGGGGGCAUUCG
rnacentral:rRNA from 1 species